rnacentral:lncRNA from 1 species
UCAAAGCCAGAGGAGACAUCUCCGGUAGCUGCAACAAAUCCGCGUCCAAACACGCCAUAUCUCCCACAAAAAGAGUAUCCAUGCUCAUUCACAUAACCCAAAUCAAUAAUCUCAAGCAGAUCAGCCAAACCCUAGAUGCCAAAAAAAUCGACGCUCAAAAGAACCAACUCCUCCAAUUCUUUUGAUCUAUAUAUAGAAAGAAUUACUCAAACUUUAUUUGAAACUCGAUGAAUGUGAUUAAAAAUACCAGAUUCGGAGGUCUAGGAACACAAGUAACCCUAGAUCUUCACGAAAUUAAAAAAGAACCUCGUUCUUCGUUUUCAUUUUUCUUUCUCUUCCUUCUAUGAAGACAGAGAGAGGUAGAAGUGAUUAGAGAGAUCGGAAGUAAGAAAGAAAAUGAAAGAAAAUGAGGGGAAGUGAGAGAAAACCUUGUUGGAGAAAACGAUGCGAUUCAAGAGGAGAUUAGCUACGAAAAUGCAGAGGAUUGAGUAGAGAGAGAGAGAGAGAGAGAGAGAGAGAAGAGAGAUAUGUAGCUUUUAUUUUUCCUUUCUUUUUAUUUUCCUGGAAAAUAAAUAAACAC